AUUGAACGCUGGCGGAAUGCUUUACACAUGCAAGUCGAACGGCAGCACGGGGCAACCUGGUGGCGAGUGGCGAACGGGUGAGUAAUAUAUCGGAACGUGCCCAAUCGUGGGGGAUAACGUAGCGAAAGUUACGCUAAUACCGCAUACGAUCUACGGAUGAAAGCGGGGGAUCGCAAGACCUCGCGCGAAUGGAGCGGCCGAUAUCAGAUUAGGUAGUUGGUGGGGUAAAGGCUCACCAAGCCAACGAUCUGUAGCUGGUCUGAGAGGACGACCAGCCACACUGGAACUGAGACACGGUCCAGACUCCUACGGGAGGCAGCAGUGGGGAAUUUUGGACAAUGGGCGCAAGCCUGAUCCAGCCAUUCCGCGUGCAGGAUGAAGGCCUUCGGGUUGGUAACUAGCUUUGUUAUUGGAACGAAACGGUAC
rnacentral:rRNA from 1 species